AAGGAGGAGCUUGCUUCUCUGGAUGAGUUGCGAACGGGUGAGUAACGCGUAGGUAACCUGCCUGGUAGCGGGGGAUAACUAUUGGAAACGAUAGCUAAUACCGCAUAAGAGUAGAUGUUGCAUGACAUAUGCUUAAAAGGUGCAAUUGCAUCACUACCAGAUGGACCUGCGUUGUAUUAGCUAGUUGGUGGGGUAACGGCUCACCAAGGCGACGAUACAUAGCCGACCUGAGAGGGUGAUCGGCCACACUGGGACUGAGACACGGCCCAGACUCCUACGGGAGGCAGCAGUAGGGAAUCUUCGGCAAUGGACGGAAGUCUGACCGAGCAACGCCGCGUGAGUGAAGAAGGUUUUCGGAUCGUAAAGCUCUGUUGUAAGAGAAGAACGAGUGUGAGAGUGGAAAGUUCACACUGUGACGGUAUCUUACCAGAAAGGGACGGCUAACUACGUGCCAGCAGCCGCGGUAAUACGUAGGUCCCGAGCGUUGUCCGGAUUUAUUGGGCGUAAAGCGAGCGCAGGCGGUUAGAUAAGUCUGAAGUUAAAGGCUGUGGCUUAACCAUAGUACGCUUUGGAAACUGUUUAACUUGAGUGCAAGAGGGGAGAGUGGAAUUCCAUGUGUAGCGGUGAAAUGCGUAGAUAUAUGGAGGAACCCGGUGGCGAAAGCGGCUCUCUGGCUUGUAACUGACGCUGAGGCUCGAAAGCGUGGGGAGCAGACAGGAUUAGAUACCCUGGUAGUCCACGCCGUAAACGAUGAGUGCUAGGUGUUAGACCCUUUCCGGGGCUUAGUGCCCGUAGCUAACGCAU
rnacentral:rRNA from 1 species